rnacentral:lncRNA from 1 species
CCCAACCAGCAGAAGAAGAAUUGCCACGUGAACAGCUGAUUCAUAAUGCAGCAGGUGGACCCAAAGCUCUACUGGUUUAUUCUAGAAGGAAGGGCAGAAAGGGUAUUGGUGGCUAGUUAGUUACGAUAGAGGUGACGUGUCUAGGAGUGAGGGGAGCAUCUUUGUUUUACUUUCCAUAAUAUAAGGAGUCAGUGAGGGAAUGUAGAUCUUAUCUUGAUAUUUUGUUAUUAUCAUGAGAAUGGGUAGAGAGUAUUGACUCUCUAUUAGAAGCUCUGCUCUUGUCAGAUCUAGGGAUUGUAAUUCCUUUUUCUGUAUUUGAUUUCCUUUGCAAUCAAUAUAAUAA